rnacentral:rRNA from 1 species
CGGGGAGUGGCAAACGGGAGAGUAACACAUUGAUAACUUACCCCGAGGUCGUGAAUAAUCCUGCGAAAGCGGGCCUAAUACACGAUGAAAGUGGGGGGCCAAAAGGCAUUCCCACUUAAAGCUCCGACGCCUCGGGAGAGGUCUAUGGCCUAUCAGCUUGUUGGUGAGGUAAAAGCUCACCAAGGCUACGACGGGUAGCGGGUGUGAGAGCAUGACCCGCCCCACUGGGACUGAGACACUGCCCAGACUCCUACGGGAGGCUGCAGUCAAGAAUAUUCCUCAAUGGCCGAAAGGCUGAAGGAGCGACGCCGCGUGCAUGAAGAAGCCCUUCGGGGUGUAAAAUGCUUUUCUCUGGGAAGAACCAAUGACGGUACCAGAGGAAUAAGGGGCUGCUAAACUCGUGCCAGCAGCAGCGGUAAUACGAGUGCCCCUAGCGUUAUCCGGAUUUAUUGGGCGUAAAGCGUACGCAGGUUGUUUAUCGCAUCUCCUGUUAAAUCCCGAGGCUCAACCUCGGGGCCGCAGGAGAGAUGGAUAAACUGGAGACCGGGAAAGGCAAGUGGAAUUGCUGGUGUAGGGGUUAAAUCCGUUAAUAUCAGCAGGAACACCAAAUGUGAAAACAGCUUGCUAGAACGGUUCUGACACUCAGGUACGAAAGCGUGGGGAGCGAAUGGGAUUAGAUACCCCAGUAGUCCACGCCGUAAACGAUGGAUGCUGAGCAUUGGCAGUUUCGACCCUGCCAGUGCUGUCUACUUAAGCUAACGCCUUAAGCAUCCCGCCUGGGGAGUACGGCCGCAAGGCUAAAACUCAAAGGAAUAGACGGGGACCCGCACAAGCGGUGGAGCAUGUGGUUUAAUUCGAUAGUAAGCGAGGAACCUCACCAAGGUUUGACAUCCGGCUGCAGACCCCGAGAAAUCGGGGAGCCUUCGAGGGUGCCGGACAGAUGCUGCAUGGUUGUCGUCAGCUCGUGUCGUGAGAUGUACCGUUAAGUCGGGAAACGAGCGCAACCCCUAUCAUAAGUUUUAAAUGUCUUAUGAAACUGCCCGCUUUAAGUGGGAGGAAGGUGGGGAUGACGUCAAAUCAGCAUGGUUCUUACACCUUGGGCGACACACGUGCUACAAUGGGGAAUACAAUGGGAAGCCAAACCGCAAGGUGGAGCAAAUCCCUUAAAAUUCUCCUCAGUUCGGAUUGAGGUCUGCAACUCGACCUCAUGAAGUUGGAAUCGCUAGUAAACGCGAAUCAGCCACGUCGCGUUGAAUACGUUCUCGGGUCUUGUACUCACCGCCCGUCACGUCAAGAGAGUCGGUAACGCCCGAACUCCGGUUUACCGGAGGAAGGCGGGAUCGAUGAUAGGGACGAAGUCGUAACAAGGCAUCCGUAGCGGAAGCUGUGGAUGGAUCACCUCCUUU